ACUGUGGACGUCCCUUUGUAUCGCUGUGACGACACGAUAGCGGGGAAACUAUCCGAAAACAGUCGUGUGCCGUUGGAAUUUCUCCGUCGUUUUGCCGAGACGUCAGUUGAACAGGACAGGCAGCUGGGCUACUUCGGAACUUUCCUGGUUCUUGUUUGUUGUACCAACGUAUCAGGAGGCGCUGAAGGAUUAAAGCAGCCCCGGUGGUGACGACUGCAGCUGGUGAAACAAAACGUGGGAAUACGGGGUGAGAUUUUCGUGAGGAAUGCGCCAGGGAAUCUGCGUGUUACGAUCGGUGGAUGGUACAUGUAACGUUACGACCGUGUCUUGUGUGAACCGGGGAUGGUACCGUACCGGAUAGCGCCGUGACACGGGAACGUUCGGAUAUCGCCUAGUCUGACCACAAACGGAAGUUACUUCAUUCGGCCUCCAGGACAUCUAGAGUGAAGACACUACCUGGACAGCGAGAAUGAGAUACCAGCUGCUGACUGCGGUGUUCCUGUGCUGGGUGGGAGCGCUGACAACGGGACAGGAUUACGACCACAAUAGAUUCUACCGCCCGCGUCCCGAGUACGGCGCUGCUCAGCCGGCCCGGGUGCAGGGGGAGGGGGGCAGUGCCCGGGUGCAGGGGGA